CGAAGGAUGCAAGCGUUAUCCGGAUUCAUUGGGUUUAAAGGGAGCGUAGGCGGCCUUAUAAGUCAGUGGUGAAAUCUUUGGGCUUAACCCAAAAAUUGCCAUUGAUACUGUAGGGCUUGAGUACGGUUGCUGUGGGCGGAAUAUGACAUGUAGUGGUGAGAUACAUAGAGAUGUCAUAGAACACCGAUUGCGAAGGCAGCUCACAAAACUGUAACUGACGCUGAGGCUCGAAAGUGCGGGGAUCAAACAGGAUUAGAUACCCUGGUAGUCCGCACUGUAAACGAUGAUUACUCGCUGCUGGAAGGUAACUUUCAGUGGCUUAGCGAAAGCGAUAAGUAAUCCACCUGGGGAGUACGCCGGCAACGGUG
rnacentral:rRNA from 1 species